CGGGGACCUGCACAAGCGGUGGAUGAUGUGGAUUAAUUCGAUGCAACGCGAAAAACCUUACCUACCCUUGACAUGUCCGGAAUCCCGAAGAGAUUUGGGAGUGCUCGCAAGAGAACCGGAACACAGGUGCUGCAUGGCUGUCGUCAGCUCGUGUCGUGAGAUGUUGGGUUAAGUCCCGCAACGAGCGCAACCCUUGUCAUUAGUUGCCAUCAUUUGGUUGGGCACUCUAAUGAGACUGCCGGUGACAAACCGGAGGAAGUGGGGAUGACGUCAAGUCCUCAUGGCCCUUAUGGGUAGGGCUUCACACGUCAUACAAUGGUCGGUACAGAGGGUUGCCAAGCCGCGAGGCGGAGCCAAUCCCACAAAGCCGAUCGUAGUCCGGAUUGUUCUCUGCAACUCGAGAGCAUGAAGUCGGAAUCGCUAGUAAUCGCAGGUCAGCAUACUGCGGUGAAUACGUUCCCGGGUCUU
rnacentral:rRNA from 1 species